UUGAUCCACACUUAUAUUUUACUCGAGUUGAAGGCGAAGCAGUACAAUGAUAUUUUUGAAAGCCCAUGCAUUGCUGUUUAUAGGUGUUUUAUUGGUAACUCUAACAUUCCACGAAGCCAACUCAUAUAGAAGGUGCUCCAUAAACGAGGAAGAGCGAUGCAAAUGCUUUGAGAGCUCCUGCUUUCAGCUUUUAUAUGAUGGGGAAAAUUGUACACCCUGUAAAAAAGAGUGCCAGUGUAAAAUUGGUUUUGUACGCAACAGGGGUAUGUGUAUGAAAAAAGAAAAAUGCUGCUCGGGUUCUGUUUGUGUAUCGAAAAAGGAGCAAAUUAUAAGAACCAUACGUCAAAAGAUGGAAAAGCCGACCGCCAGGUUGAGUCAAUUCAAGUAAAAUCGAUUAUGUUCGCAAGAAUAAUGUUCAAUAAUGCUUAAAAAUACAAAUAGAUUUGCAGAGCUUGCCUACAAAAUUUUAAAA